UAUGGUGCCUGAUAAAAAGGAUUAUCUUGAUAGGAUAAAUUAUGUGAAUAUUCACCCUUAUUA
rnacentral:tRNA from 1 species